CUAUAAAAGCAGAACUAUCCCUCCACUCUGUACUACAACACCUGUUCACUAUUACCUUCAAGAGCUCCACUGCACCAAGGAAGAACACAGACACAGCAGUAAUGGAUAGGUGUAUACCACACUGUGGGGACAAAAACAAAGGUAGUUCCAUUGGCAACGUACAUGGAGGUGGAGGCAAUGCGAACAUUGGCAAUGCAUCAGGAGGUGGAGGAAGUCACAUUGGCAACGUACACGGUGGUGGAGGCAACGAGAACAUUGGCAAUGUAUCAGGAGGUGGAGGAAGUCACAUUGGCAACAUACAUGGGGGUGGAGGCAACGCCAACAUUGGCAACGUUGGAAAACCAUCUGGAUGCCAUUAGGGCCGCCAGAAGAGGACUGGUCACCCCUCUGAGCAUGGGUCCUCUCUAGGUUUCUUCCUAAAAUUCGACCUUCUUAGGGAGUUUUUCCUAGCCACUGAAAUUCAACACUAUUGUUGUUAACUCCUUGGGGUUUAAGGCCGGGUGUCUCUGUAAAGCACUUUGUGACUGCUGUUGUAAAAAGGGCUUUAUAAAUGAAUUUGAUUUGAUUGAUUCUUGUCCUCUUAGCUUCACCAAAAGCCUGUCAACAUCCCUGCUCACACUGGGGUGAAGAUUAUGAAAACUGGGUGCAUAUUAAAGUUCUUAGUUCUAUCAGAUUCACUCUAGGAGUAUGGUUUUAAUCAGCAUUGUAACCGUUCUUGUUUUUGUCAAAUAAAUAAAUGUUACAACACUGA